ACCCCUUUGUCACAUCACUGCGAUAUAGUGGACAGUGUUCCCUCAAAUUAUUCAGAUAAUAAUGGUUCAGUGUGCUAUAGCUACAUGCAAAAUGAUCUAUAAAAACAGGAAGAGGUUUGUAUCUUUUUACAGCUUUCCCCACGACCGAAAACUUGCAAAGAAGUGGCUCGACGCCUGCAGAAGGAACGACCUGUGGCACGGGAGACAAAUAAAGCCUUGGCACGCUAUUUGCUCCAUGCAUUUUGAAGCCGAGUGCUUUAACUAUCAUCUAACAUAUGACGGCGUGAGACUCUCGUUGAAAGCUGGUUCCUGCCCGACCCUAAAUGUGCCGAAGUAUGGGAAGGAAAUCAAGAAUCCCGUUUCUUAUGAGGAUCAUAUAGAAGGGCUGCCAGUGGUUCAGGAGUUCUUGAGGAGAAAACAUGGGUAUCCCAGUAUUGCAGACACUUGUACUGAGCAAUCAGGGUAUAAAUGUGAACCACCUUGUGCUGAUCCUCCAGCUACACAUUCACAUAGUAUUAACAGCAGUCAUCCUCUGGCUCUUUCUACUGAAGCCAAGACACAAUCCAAAACAGAUGGGAUAGGUGAGACACAAUCCAAAACAGAUGGGAUAGGUGAGACUGAAUCCAAAACAGAUGGGAUAGGUGAGACACAGUCCAAAACAUAUGGAAUAGUGAGAAACAAUCCAAAACAUAUAGGAUGGUGAGACACAAUCCAAAACAGAUGGGAUAGGUAAGACACAAUCCAAACGUGAUGGGAUGGCUCCUAUCCAGGAUGGGAUAAGUGAUCCCUUCACCCAAAUGGCACAAAACCAGAUACUUCUUGCUGCUUCACUGUCGGAACUGGUGGCAGAUCAGAAGCAAUUGGUGGCAAGCCAGAAGGAGAUGGUGGCAGUGGUAAGGGACGGGGUAAAUGCCAUACGAGAAGCCUUGGCAUUGUUUAAAAAGUAGAAGGCAGCAAAAAGGAGUGGAUAUAUGACUGCUGGCUGAGUGAUCUGCUGUGAUUGGGGGAGGUGCAAUAAAUGCUCAGAAUCAGUUUGCAAAGCUCAUUAAAUAUAUAGGUCUGGGAAAUGUCACACGCACACACCUCUCAUUGUUGUAGUAAUGUAUUAUCUUUGAGUGGAAUCUGCAGUUCCUGAUUAGUAAUUGAGAAUUGUGGUUAAAAAUCAUGUUGCCCCCUGAACUGUUACUUCCGUUAUACCCAUAUCUGUUUCUUAUUUUUGAUUGUUAAUGUUAUCAAAUUUAUAUACCUACUUUAUUGUAAUAUAUCAUGAUUGUGGAUAUCAUAUUUUUGUGUAAGCACAUUGUCAUUUCACCUUGCUCAAUAUUCCUUUUAUACAAUAAAUGAAAUAUAUUUUAAUAA